rnacentral:RNase_P_RNA from 1 species
GGUAGGUAAUAUACCUAGCUUCCGGAGGAAUCUGAUGAAGCUUUUCCUUUUUUGGUGAAGCUUUUUCUUAAAAAGGUUCUUCUGAGGAAAGUCCGCACACAAUAAAAGGUUACUCUUGCAAAAGAGCUCUGGAAACAGAGGGCAACCACGCAGAAACGACACGGCUUUUUGGCGUAAUGAUGUUCACGAAAUUUCCUGCGAAGGAAACGAGGACUAACUGAACUUGUCAAAAAGAAGCGAUGAAACGGUGAGUCCUAACUUGUGCAAGUCUUUAGACGCAUAGUUUAAUGCUAGGAGAGCUAUUCCUUUAGGAAGCUCUUACAGAAUGCGGCUUACUUGUUACCUACC